GGCAGGCCAUGAUCAAGAAGCACUCUCCUCUGCCUGGAGAAGGUCCAGAUACUGCUGAAGCAAUUUAGGAUCCUUGGAGGGCUGCUGAGUGGACCUGUGUUUUUUUGGUACUACAAGAAAAGAAGCCGCCUAGUCAAGGAUCUGCUUCUUGAUCCCCCAGGCAUGGCCCCGAGCCACAUGGAGCUCAUUUCUAACCUGACAGUGAACGCCUCAUUCUUGCUUCCUUCCCCCACGUCAUAACACCCUUCAG